CACGUAGGGGCCAAGCGUUGUCCGGAUUCAUUGGGCGUAAAGAGCUCGUAGGCGGUUCAGUUAGUCGGGUGUGAAAUCUCCGGGCUCAACCCGGAGGGGCCACCCGAUACUGCUGUGACUCGAGUCCGGUAGGGGAGUGGGGAAUUCCUGGUGUAGCGGUGAAAUGCGCAGAUAUCAGGAAGAACACCAAUGGCGAAGGCAGCUCUCUGGGACGGUACUGACGCUGAGACGCGAAAGCGUGGGGAGCGAACAGG
rnacentral:rRNA from 1 species